UAUCACAAAGCCAGCACUCAAGU
rnacentral:misc_RNA from 1 species